rnacentral:rRNA from 1 species
CGUGAUACAAUGGCUGGAACAAAGGGAGGCGAAGGGGUGACCUGGAGCGAACCCAAAAUACAGUCUCAGUUCGGAUUGAAGUCUGCAACUCGACUUCAUGAAGUCGGAAUCGCUAGUAAUCGCGGAUCAGAACGCCGCGGUGAAUACGUUCUCGGGGUUU